rnacentral:sRNA from 1 species
AUUGACCCAUCAUCCUGUGACAGUUUAUAAGUGUUGAAUCUGUUACAUUUGUUAGUACUUUGAAAAGUAUUGAAAAACUGUUUUUCUCCUCAUAGAUGGAUGGUGACAGUUCUACAACAGAUGCUUCUCAACUAGGAAUCUCUGCAGACUAUAUUGGAGGAAGUCAUUAUGUUAUACAGCCUCAUGAUGAUACUGAGGACAGCAUGAAUGAUCAUGAAGACACAAAUGGUUCAAAAGAAAGUUUCAGAGAACAAGAUAUAUAUCUUCCAAUAGCAAACGUGGCUAGGAUAAUGAAAAAUGCCAUACCUCAAACGGGAAAGAUUGCAAAAGAUGCCAAAGAAUGUGUUCAAGAAUGUGUAAGUGAGUUCAUCAGUUUUAUAACAUCUGAAGCAAGUGAAAGGUGCCAUCAAGAGAAACGGAAAACAAUCAAUGGAGAAGAUAUUCUCUUUGCUAUGUCUACUUUAGGCUUUGACAGUUAUGUGGAACCUCUGAAAUUAUACCUUCAGAAAUUCAGAGAGGCUAUGAAAGGAGAAAAGGGAAUUGGUGGAGCAGUCACAGCUACAGAUGGACUAAGUGAAGAGCUUAC